AACGCACCUUGCGCUCCUUGGUAUUCCGAGGAGCAUGCCUGUUUGAGUGUCUUGAAAUCAUCAAGCCCCUGGAUUCGCGUCCGGAGGUUUGGACUUGGGGGUCUUUGCUGCCUUCUUGGCGGCUCCCCUUAAAUGCAUCGGUUGCGGCCCGUACGGCUUCAGUCCUAGGCGUUGUAUUGCCCUCGCCCUGUGUCUUGUCGGCAGUGCCCUUCCCCGACCGCCUUUGGAGCGGCGGUCAACACUUCAUUGAAAUCUGACCUCAAAUCAGGUAGGACUACCCGCCGAACUUAA
rnacentral:misc_RNA from 1 species